UAGAAAGGCAAGCACUGCACGGGGCCUUUCUGAUGCCUUUGCCUUACCCGAUAGGAAGAAGAAGCGGAAUUCGUUCAUCAACUGGGAAUUCGGGGAGGAAUCUCUCUUUGGGGUUGGGGCUUGAUUCCCAGUGGUUCCCUGAGACAACCAUCUCACAUCUAGCGCCUAGGGGCGUAGCCAGGGUUGGGAAAGAUUGGAGUAUUCUAUAAGGGAAAUGCGGCAGGAGUUUCUUUCGAAAAAGAAAAACUAAUAGCUACAAUUGCAACGCUAAAAUGCG
rnacentral:misc_RNA from 1 species